rnacentral:rRNA from 1 species
ACUAGGAUGAACGCAGCGACAGGCCUAACACAUGCAAGUCGAGGGGCAGCACAAGGAGCAAUCUGAGGUGGCGACCGGCGCACGGGUGAGUAACACGUAUGCAACCUGCCUGUAAGCGGGGAAUAACCCGUUGAAAGACGGACUAAUACCGCAUAAUACUAAAUUACUGCAUGGUAAUUUAUUUAAACAUUUAUGGCUUACAGAUGGGCAUGCGCAUGAUUAGCUAGUUGGAGAGGUAACGGCUCCCCAAGGCAACGAUCAUUAGGGGUUCUGAGAGGAAGGUCCCCCACACUGGUACUGAGACACGGACCAGACUCCUACGGGAGGCAGCAGUGAGGAAUAUUGGUCAAUGGACGAGAGUCUGAACCAGCCAAGUCGCGUGCAGGAAGAAUGUCCUUAAUGGAUUGUAAACUGCUUUUGCAGGGGAAUAAAGUGCAUCACGUGUGAUGUUUUGUAUGUACUCUGCGAAUAAGGAUCGGCUAACUCCGUGCCAGCAGCUGC